CAGGGUGAUGGACUGCCUUUUGCAUAAUGAGCCUGCGAGUUGUGGUGUCUGGCAAGGUUAAGCCAAGUGCGAAGCCGUAGCGAAAGCGAGUCUUAAUAGGGCGAAAUAGUCAGAUGCUGCAGACCCGAAACGAAGUGAUCUAUCCAUGAGCAGGUUGAAGCUGGUGUAAGAGCCAGUGGAGGACCGAACCCAUUGACGUUGAAAAGUCUCGGGAUGACUUGUGGAUAGGGGUGAAAGGCCAAUCAAACUUCGUGAUAGCUGGUUCUCUCCGAAAUAUAUUUAGGUAUAGCCUUGUGUUGUAGCAUAUAGGGGUAGAGCACUGAAUGGGCUAGGGCUGCUUACCGCGGUACCAAACCCUAUCAAACUAUGAAUACUAUAUGUGGAAUCACAGGAGUCAGGCGGUGGGUGAUAAAAUCCGUCGUCGAGAGGGGAACAACCCAGACUAACAGCUAAGGUCCCUAAGUUACAUCUAAGUGGAAAACGAUGUGGAGUUACUGUGACAACCAGGAGGUUGGCUUAGAAGCAGCCAUCCUUUAAAGAAAGCGUAACAGCUCACUGGUCUAGUGAUUCUGCGCGGAAAAUAUAACGGGGCUAAGAUGUACACCGAAGCUUUAGAUUCAAUUUUUAAUUGAGUGGUAGGAGAGCGUUCUAUUCAGCGUUGAAGGUAUACCGGUAAGGAGUGCUGGAGCGGAUAGAAGUGAGCAUGCAGGCAUGAGUAGCGAUAAUUAAGGUGAGAAUCCUUAACGCCGAAAACCCAAGGUUUCCUACGCGAUGCUCGUCAUCGUAGGGUUAGUCGGGUCCUAAGUCGAGACUGAAAAGUGUAGACGAUGGCAAAUUGGUUAAUAUUCCAAUACCAACAUAUAAGCGCGAUGUGGGGACGCAUAGAGUUAAUCGAGGUCACGGAUGGAAGUGUGGCUCGAAGGAUGUAGGUUGUUAAGUAGGCAAAUCCGCUUAACACUAGACCGAGAUCUUACAGGCUCUUGACACUCUUCGGAGGAGAUGGAGAAUCGAUGAUACUGUCGUGCCAAGAAAAGCCACUAAGUUUAUUAUAUGUUGCCCGUACCGUAAACCGACACAGGUGGGUGGGAUGAGUAUUCUAAGGCGCGUGGAAGAACCCUCUUUAAGGAACUCUGCAAAAUAGCACCGUAUCUUCGGUAUAAGGUGUGCCUACUUUGGUAUAUGAACUUGCUUCAAAAAGCUAAAGAGGUUGCAACAAAGAGUCCCUCCCGACUGUUUACCAAAAACACAGCACUUUGCUAACACGUAAGUGGAUGUAUAAGGUGUGACGCCUGCCCGGUGCUCGAAGGUUAAUUGAUGAUGUCAGCGCAAGCGAAGCAUUUGAUCGAAGCCCGAGUAAACGGCGGCCGUAACUAUAACGGUCCUAAGGUAGCGAAAUUCCUUGUCAGUUAAAUACUGACCUGCAUGAAUGGCGUAACGAGAUGGGAGCUGUCUCAAAGAGGGAUCCAGUGAAAUUGUAGUGGAGGUGAAAAUUCCUCCUACCCGCGGAAAGACGGAAAGACCCCGUGCACCUUUACUACAGCUUGACACUGUAGCUUGGAUAUUCAUGUGCAGGAUAGGUGGGAGGCUAUGAUGACUAGACGCAAGUAGAGUCGGAGCCAUCCUUGAGAUACCACCCUUGAAUAUUUGAGUUACUAACUGCGAUGAGUUAUCCUCAUUCAGGACAAUGUCUGGUGGGUAGUUUGACUGGGGCGGUCGCCUCCUAAAUAGUAACGGAGGCUUACAAAGGUUAGUUCAAAGCGGAUGGAAAUCGCUUGUUGAGUAUAAUGGCAUAAACUAGCUUGACUGUGAGACCUACAAGUCGAACAGAGACGAAAGUCGGUCAUAGUGAUCCGGUGGUUCUGCGUGGAAGGGCCAUCGCUCAAAGGAUAAAAGGUACGCCGGGGAUAACAGGCUGAUCUCCCCCAAGAGCUCACAUCGACGGGGAGGUUUGGCACCUCGAUGUCGGCUCAUCGCAUCCUGGGGCUGUAGUCGGUCCCAAGGGUAUGGCUGUUCGCCAUUUAAAGCGGUACGCGAGCUGGGUUCAGAACGUCGUGAGACAGUUCGGUCCCUAUCUUCCGUGGGCGUAGGAAAGUUGAAGAGAUUUGUCCCUAGUACGAGAGGACCGGGAUGAACCAACCACUGGUGUACCAAUUGUUCUGCCAAGAGCAUCGUUGGGUAGCCACGUUGGGAUGUGAUAAGAGCUGAAAGCAUCUAAGCUCGAAGCCAACUCUAAGAUGAACUUUCCCUGAAGUUCCCAGCAAGACUAGCUGGUUGAUAGGCUGGAUGUGUAAUGGGUGUAAGCCCUUUAGCUGACCAGUACUAAUAGAACGUUUGGCUUAUUUUU
rnacentral:rRNA from 1 species